rnacentral:rRNA from 1 species
GACGUAGGGCGCAAGCGUUGUCCGGAUUUAUUGGGCGUAAAGAGCUCGUAGGCGGCCUGUCGCGUCGACCGUGAAAACCCGCAGCUCAACUGCGGGCUUGCGGUCGAUACGGGCAGGCUGGAGUUCGGUAGGGGAGACUGGAAUUCCUGGUGUAGCGGUGAAAUGCGCAGAUAUCUGAAGGAACAUCAGUGGCGAAAGCGACUUCCUGGACCAAUACUGACGCUCAUGUGCGAAAGCGUGGGGAGCAAACAGGG